rnacentral:rRNA from 1 species
CCCUUAGAUGUUCUGGGCCGCACACGCGCUACACUGAAGGAGGCAGCGUGUACUCCUGGAUCGAAAGAUUUGGGUAACCCGCGAAUCUCCUUCGUGCUAGGGAUUGAGGUUUGCAAUUAUCCUUCAUGAACGAGGAAUUCCCAGUAAGUGCAAGUCAUAAGCUCGCGCUGACUACGUCCCUGCCCUUUGUACACACCGCCCGUCGCUACUACCGAUUGAAUGAUUUAGUGAGGACUUCGGACUGGGACCGAUGCGGCUUUCGGGCUGCGUCGGUAUUCUGGAAAGAUGUCCAAACUGUAUCAUUUAGAGGAAGUAAAAGUCGUANCA